CUGGACAGCUUCUUCGCAAACCGAAACGCGAUUCGUAAUCUCACUGCAUCGAUUCAGUCGCGUUUUGGUUUUGGUUCAGAACUUCUUUGGUUCAGAAUGCUUAUGGUUUGGUGCAUUUUUACGUGCAGAAAAAUACAGCUUUUGGCCUUGCCCACAUGGUGUUCGAUAAAACGCCUCAACCAGAAUUGUCGCUGUUACUACCGUUUUGCAACUCGCACGUCACAUGGACCCAAAAUUAAGGAAGAUUUUACAGCUUUUGCGUUUGAGACAGCAGGAAGCAUCGGUAACAAGAGCAUUAGAGGAUGGUAUACAUUCUAUUUUUGA